UACGAACUGUGCGAACGUUAUUCGGAAUCACUGGGCUUACAGGGUGCGUAGGCGGCUACUCAAGUCAGGUGUGAAAGCCCCCGGCUCAACCGGGGAACUGCGCUUGAAACUGGGUGGCUCGAGUCAGCUAGAGGUGCACGGAACUUCCAGUGGAGCGGUGAAAUGUGUUGAUAUUGGAAGGAACACCAGAGGCGUAAGCGGUGCACUGGGGCUGGUCUGACGCUGAGGCACGAAAGCCAGGGUAGCGAACGGG
rnacentral:rRNA from 1 species